rnacentral:rRNA from 1 species
UACGAAGGUCCCAAGCGUUGUUCGGAAUUACUGGGCGUAAAGGGCGCGUAGGCGGCCCUCUAAGUCGAACGUGAAAUCCCCGGGCUCAACCCGGGAACUGCGUCCGAUACUGGAGGGCUCGAAUCCGGGAGAGGGAUGUGGAAUUCCAGGUGUAGCGGUGAAAUGCGUAGAUAUCUGGAGGAACACCGGUGGCGAAGGCGGCAUCCUGGACCGGUAUUGACGCUGAGGCGCGAAAGCCAGGGGAGCAAACGGG